AUGAGAGCUCUAUUCUGGAAUAUUCGUGGUUUCGGUGCUAGGGGGCGCCGUGACCAGAUUCAUGACUUGGUUUGUGGUGAACAUAUUGACAUUUUAGGGCUGGUCGAAACGUUCAAGGAAUCAUUUUGCCCUUCUGAACUCUCUGCGAUAGCUGGGAUGGAUAGGUUUGAUUGGCACCUUCUCCCCGCCUCGGGCCACUCUGGGGGAAUCUUGAUUGGGUCCAAGCGGGACGUUUUUGAUUUCAUUACUUUUGAUCAUGGCAUCUUUUGGGCUAGCUGUGUGGUUCAUCAUCGUCAGCUCAACACUUUGUGAGAAUUUAUGGUGGUUUAUGGCCCUGCGGAUCACACGCUUGCUCCUCUCUUUUUGGACGAACUAUCGACUAAGAUUGAAACAUGUUCUAUUCCUCUUCUAAUUGGGGGUGAUUUCAAUUUGUUA
rnacentral:rRNA from 1 species